AGCGAACGCUGGCGGCAGGCUUAACACAUGCAAGUCGAACGGAUCGGUCCUUCGGGGUCGGUUAGUGGCGGACGGGUGAGUAACACGUGGGAACGUGCCCUUGGGUACGGGAUAACGCAGGGAAACUUGCGCUAAUACCGUAUGUGCCGGAAACGGAAAAGAUUUAUCGCCCUUGGAGCGGCCCGCGUCUGAUUAGCUUGUUGGUGGGGUAAUGGCCUACCAAGGCGACGAUCAGUAGCUGGUCUGAGAGGAUGGCCAGCCACAUUGGGACUGAGAC
rnacentral:rRNA from 1 species